GUGAGUGAACUGGCUGGAUGUCCUAAAAUGGUCAUAGAAGAGGCACUAGUAGUGACAGCUUCUCAUGAUCUUGCCAAUGUGCUUUAACUCAAUCAAGGAGGACUACCAUUUCAGAGGAAAAACUUCAGACACCACUGCCAAAUCAAACUCUGGCUUCU
rnacentral:sRNA from 1 species